rnacentral:tRNA from 2 species
GGGGGUAUAGCUCAGUUGGCUAGAGCACCUGCUUUGCAAGCAGGGGGUCGUCGGUUCGAAUCCGUCUAUCUCCA